UGCCUUGAACAUGGACAUGUGGGCAACCCUGGCCAAUGAAUUGGGCGUUGUGGCCUGGCAACGCUACUGAGGCCAAACGACCCGCUGAUCCUCGUUUAAAACAUUUCGAGUUACCUAAUAGUGACUCGAUGUGCUAAGAACAUGGUGUUGCGGGUCAAGGCAAGCUGACGGGCGACCUGUUGAUCCUUAUUCGAAGUGCGCUUGGUUGUCCUAGCUCGGCUAGGCACUAGACGUCAGUAGGAGACGGUGAUACAGGUGUGCAUCGAGGCAUGACGGAUUCUUUAAUUUUGUUUGUUACUUUCGCAUCGUUCGGUGCAUUCUGGGGGCUGUUUUGGCUUUUGGUUGCUUGCUUGGCUUUUCGCUGGGCGGGUCGCUAAUAGUCGGGCGGUUGGUGUUUGGUUUGUUACGGGUGGUUGGCUGUCUGCUCGCGCAGCAACGUCCACGCGUGCAUACCUCUUCAGUAUUGCGGCAAGGCUUCGAUUGUCUUGAGCAUCUUGUGGGUUUCCUGUGUUGCAUACCUAAUUGAUGGUACCGUGUGGUUUUAUGAUGUCCCUUUUCGUCAUGCGUCGCUCAUGCGGCGUGGGAUGAACAUCGAAGCGGUCUUUGUGGUCCACCUCCUCGUUGCAUUUGAAAUGAUGAUGUGGCCUAUGAAGCAUCGUUUGGUCUCUUGUAUACGGAACCUGAUGUGGGCAUGGGUCUYUUAAGAUCCUAAAUCUGCCCUCGUUAAGCGUUCUCGCUUCUCUAAAACGAUUGUCUGCCAUGUCUUGGCUUGUCCUUGCAUGGUGGGCUACGUCGA
rnacentral:misc_RNA from 1 species